GAAAUGCGAUAAGUAAUGUGAAUUGCAGAAUUCAGUGAAUCAUCGAAUCUUUGAACGCACAUUGCGCCCGCCAGUAUUCUGGCGGGCAUGCCUGUCCGAGCGUCAUUUCAACCAUCAAGCCCCCGGGCUUGUGUUGGGGACCUGCGGCUGCCCGCAGGCCCUGAAAACCAGUGGCGGGCUCGCUGUCACACCGAGCGUAGGAGCAAUCACCUCGCUCAGGGCGUGCUGCGGGUUCCGGCCGUUAAACAGCCUUACAAAACCCAAGGUUGACCUCGGAUCAGGUAGGAAGACCCGCUGAACUUAAGC
rnacentral:misc_RNA from 1 species